GACGAACGCUGGCGGCGUGCUUAACACAUGCAAGUCGAACGAUGAACCCGGAGCUUGCUCCGGCGGAUUAGUGGCGAACGGGUGAGUAACACGUGAGUAACCUGCCCUUGACUCUGGGAUAACUGCGAGAAAUGGUAGCUAAUACCGGAUACGACCCUCGGUGGCAUCACCAGGGGGUGGAAAGAAUUUCGGUCAAGGAUGGACUCGCGGCCUAUCAGCUAGUUGGUGAGGUAACGGCUCACCAAGGCGACGACGGGUAGCGGGUCUGAGAGGAUGACCAGCCUCACUGGGACUGAGACACAGCCCAGACUCCUACGGGGGGCAGCAGUGGGGAAUAUUGGACAAUGGGCGCAAGCCUGAUCCAGCCAUGCCGCGUGGGUGAUGAAGGCCCUAGGGUUGUAAAGCCCUUUCAGCGGGGAAGAUAAUGACGGUACCCGCAGAAGAAGCCCCGGCUAACUUCGUGCCAGCAGCCGCCGUAA
rnacentral:rRNA from 1 species